UAUUUUUUAUUUUUGCCCUGAUUAUUUGGUUUCUGCUGCUUAUCAGGUUGGGCAUGAGUCGGAAUAUCCUUUGUUUCCUAAAAAUUUUUUGGUAUCCAAGAAUUAUUCCUUUUUUAUGUUUUUACUUCCCUUAUUUUUAGUGAUUGAGAUUGAUAAUUACAAUUGUGGUCUGAGCUUGUACGAAUUUACCAAAAUUCCCCAUUGUCUUGAAAAUUUGGAUAGGUUUGAAUUUGCUUUUUGAGGACUGUCCAAGUGCA
rnacentral:misc_RNA from 1 species